UAUGAAUUGAGGAAUAGAAUAUGAAUAUGCAUAAAAUGGGCAGAUUAUCAUAGACUGCUGCACUUAGUGCAAUCUAUGUGAGAUAUUUGCAAUGUAUUCAAGGCAAACGAGUAUAUUUCAUGCUAUUUGAAAUAUUGUAUUUUCUAUUGGCAGGUGCUUCCAAAUGCAGAUUUCCAAGUAAUUAUACUGUAACAGGACUAAGUACAGCAAUAUAGCAUUUGCUUUGAGUCACACACAGAUUUAAGAUGAGGAAGUUUGAAGAAUGCUAUUCAUUUAAUAGCUCGUAAGAGCCAUCCUCACCAGGUGUUGUGAGAUUUUUGUAGCACGCUAAAUACUCAUAUUUUUUAAAAAAACCCAAAAUGUUCUUCUUCAUUCACAGCGUUCAGUGUUUUCUAUAUUUUCCAUGGUGAGGACCUAAAAAUGCAAAUUAGUGCACUUAGUGCACUUCUUUAUGACAUAUCCUGUUUCUGAAAGUAACAUUAAAAGGAUAGAAAUCUCUCUCUGUUUAGUCCAUAUCCUAUCUAAAAAUUCUUUAUUCAAGCAAAUCACUCUUGAGAUAUGAUGAGGCUAGGUGGAUCAGAUAAGUGAAGUAUGAAGGGUCAGCCCAAGCCAACUCAUACUGUCAAAAGUGGGAAUGUAAAAGUAAUUGGGGCAAGAUAAAAAUAAAAUAAAUUGUUUUGCAUUUUUUGUACUUCUUCUGCAUUGGUAUGAAAUGCAUGAACGGUUGUAUUUUGUAUUCAUGUCAAUAAGUUUAGUCCAUCCUAAAGAAAUCACAUUGUCAAUGCAAUAAUAUGAAAAAUAUUAUAUGUGAGAAUUAAACUACUUGCUAAUUUAUUUUGUGAUGAUCUAAGUUUGGCAUACAUGGAGAAAAAUAUUUUUAUAUAUACAAAAGCUAUCAUUGACUGCAAAAAAAUUUAUAACAUGUAAUAUAUAUUGUCACAAUGGAUGGCAGUUUUUACUGAAACACUUACUAAUGAGACCAUUGGUUUUGGAUUCCUUACCCAACAGCAUAAUUGCAGCUGACUAAAAGGAUCUUAAAAUUCUUUCAGGAAAGGUGUCAAAACACUUUUCAUUCAGUCUGCCUUCAACAUUCAAUGGCAUAGGACAAAAACCACAGUGUGGAUAAGAACUCACUAAAAUGUACAAAGUUUUUUAAAAAGUUAAGUUUAUUAUUUCCAAGUUAAUAAACUGAAAAUAUUCCAGCAUUAGGUUCACUAACAAAGAUAUUUUUUAUGAAAUACCAAAUGCAUCAUAGGUAAAAAUCAUUCUCAGACUACUUUUAAACAUGCUUGGAGGCAAAUGGCACAAAUAAAAAAGAUUCCAACAAGAACAUGGAAUGAAAUUCAGGCAGACUUGUCAAUCACACAAUCCCUCUGCUGCUGAUCUGCAGUUGACCUGAUUCAGCCCUGAAAAAGAGCAAGUGCUUCUAUGCAAUCAAACUGAAACGUAUGGAUACUGAAAAGACCUUGAGAGACUCACUUAGUACCAGGCAGUGGAAGUAAGGGAGGCAAGACAGAGAAUCUGCACAGGGCUGUGCAUUUACACAUGAUAUUCUGAUGUGUGAAAAUGGCAAAAAUGGUACUUUCACAUUGAACAGCCCUCAGCAGAAAUCAGACUGCAGUUUUCAGAGCAGUGGAAGAAGUAUUUCACAUCUGGGCAUAUGUGUGCAUUUCUGUUGCAGGAAGAGCAGCAUAAUAAAGAAAGAAAAUUUUGCUUGGAGGUACAUUCUCUUGUAUCUAGAGAACAGAAAGAAAAGUCUUUAAAUGGUGUUUAAACAUUCAUUAAACAGAAUGACUUGUGACUCAGGAGGUAGAUUUUUUAAUAAGGAAAUUGUAAGGAAGUGUCAAUAAAGAUUUUAUUAAGAGAUUGAACAGAAAAAAUACUACAGAAGAUUUGCGCAAAUUUGAAAACACGAAGCACUGCUUUUAUGAAUGCUAUGAAGAGAUCCAAACAGAAGAAAUAUAUUUGCUUACUUUUGUCCAUGAAGGUAUAUUGGAAAUACCUAAUCCAGACAUCUUUAAAGGCUGCCUUCACUAUUAGUAUUUAUGGCAAAAUAUGUACGAUGUACAUAUCGCAAAAUGCCUUGAUUUCUCAAAAGGUUUAGAAAUUAACUCUGAAAAUAAUUUUCUGAACUCAUUAGAUUUAGACCAUUGAUAUUCUCUUAUAAUAGCAAUCUUAUGUUCUAAGCAAUUAUAUAAUAAAAUAAAUCUUUGCCUUUCAUUUUUAUUUGGUGGAUUUUCUCUGACUCAAAUGAAACCAACUUCUGCUUCCAUUUAUUAUCACCUUCUUCAAUAUCUGUGUUGUUUUUUUCCCCUUAAUUUUACUACACUCUGGA